rnacentral:rRNA from 1 species
AGGACGAACGCUGGCGGCGUGCUUAACACAUGCAAGUCACGGGGGCCCGCAAGGGUAACCGGCGAACGGGUGCGUAACACGUGAGCAACCUGCCUAGAUGUGGGGGAUAGCCGGCCCAACGGCCGGGUAAUACCGCAUACGGUCACGAGGAGGAGUCUCCUUGUGAAGAAACCUCCGGGGCAUUUAGAGGGGCUCGCGGCCUAUCAGCUAGUUGGCGGGGUAAUGGCCCACCAAGGCUUCGACGGGUAGCUGGUCUGAGAGGAUGGCCAGCCACAUUGGGACUGAGAGACGGCCCAGACUCCUACGGGAGGCAGCAGUGGGGAAUCUUGCGCAAUGGCCGAAAGGCUGACGCAGCGACGCCGCGUGUGGGAGGACGCCCUUCGGGGUGUAAACCACUGUUGCCCGGGACGAACAUCCACUUUCGAGUGGACUGACGGUACCGGGUGAGGAAGCACCGGCUAACUCCGUGCCAGCAGCCGC